GUGGGGAAUAUUGGACAAUGGGCGAAAGCCUGAUCCAGCCAUGCCGCGUGUGUGAAGAAGGUCUUCGGAUUGUAAAGCACUUUAAGUUGGGAGGAAGGGCAGUAAGUUAAUACCUUGCUGUUUUGACGUUACCGACAGAAUAAGCACCGGCUAACUUCGUGCCAGCAGCCGCGGUAAUACGAAGGGUGCAAGCGUUAAUCGGAAUUACUGGGCGUAAAGCGCGCGUAGGUGGUUUUGUAAGUUGGAGGUGAAAUCCCCGGGCUCAACCUGGGAACUGCCUCCAAAACUGCAUGAAUGGAGUACGGUAGAGGGUAGUGGAAUUUCCUGUGUAGCGGUGAAAUGCGUAGAUAUAGGAAGGAACACCAGUGGCGAAGGCGACUACCUGGACUGAUACUGACACUGAGGUGCGAAAGCGUGGGGAGCAAACAGGAUUAGAAACCCGUGUAGUCC
rnacentral:rRNA from 1 species